GUAGGGGGCAAGCGUUGUCCGGAUUUAUUGGGCGUAAAGAGCGUGUAGGCGGCUUUACAGGUCCGCUGUGAAAACUCGAGGCUCAACCUCGAGCUGUCGGUGGAAACCGUAAGGCUAGAGUCCGGAAGAGGAGAGUGGAAUUCCCGGUGUAGCGGUGAAAUGCGCAGAUAUCGGGAAGAACACCCGUGGCGAAGGCGGCUCUCUGGGACGGUACUGACGCUGAGACGCGAAAGCGUGGGGAGCGAACAGGAUUAGAUACCCUGGUAGUCCACGCCGUAAACGAUGGGUGCUAGGUGUGGGAGGUGUCGACUCCUUCCGUGCCGAAGCUAACGCAUUAAGCACCCCGCCUGGGGAGUACGGCCGCAAGGCUA
rnacentral:rRNA from 1 species